UAUGCUCUACUUUACUGAUGAGGAAACUUUGGCACUUUUAGGGAACUCGGGACGGGCAACCUUCGAACCGAUUUGAGAUAGGAAACAUACCCGAUUUCUGUUUAUUUUUCACCGCAAGGUACCCUGAUUGGUUGAAGCACUUAAUCGCAUUCUGAUUGGCUGGAUGGUGACACGAUGUGGUCCACCUCUUCCUGCCUUUUAGAUUUAGCAGCGGUAGGUCACAAAUUACUUUCUUGCUAUUUAUUAAUAUAACGUUUUAUUCUGGCCAGAAGAAAGGAUGACGUUCUUCCUAUCAAGAACACUUUAACCUGACGUUAGCUAACUACAGACAUUUGAAUCCCUAUGAUCCUUGAACCUUUUUUGAUUAUUAAACUAUCAUACCCUUUUGAAGUAUUUAGGAAAGUGUGCGAACAUUUCAUAAGACAUAUUAUUGUCCUAGUAGCCCCUGAAUGCACUUUAGAUUAAGUCACACAGAAAUAGAAGUAGAACAUUUUUACUUAAAGUUGCUGAGAUGCUACAUAUUUGAUGAUCUGUAUCACACAGUGGCUAUAUUAGAUGUAUUUAGGUGAAGACUGCAAGUACUUGUGUUCUGUUGUCAAUAAUACAUCUGGAACCAUAUCUAUGCAUGCUGUAAAACAUUAGUGUUUUUCUACGAUAUAAUAUAUAUAUUCUCAUUUCCUCAUUCAUAUGUUAUGUUUUCAUACUAAUCCGUCAUGCCGAAUCUUCACCCUCGGACAACUGGCCAAAGAAAGGAUCAAUUUUACAGGAUGCAGGGACGUCAGCUUGCAAACGACCCAGAGUUGGAGGAACCUGGCCGCGCUGCAGGGGGACAACAGCAGUGGAGCUGGUGUGAUUCGGCAUCGCCACUCAGUGAAGCGGCGCUCUCUAAUCACCUUGAAGUGAAGUGUAGUGUUGUGUAGCAAAACAAAACCAUAGGGCUCUGCUAUUAGGAUGUGGACCACUUACUCUUACUUUGCUUAGCCAGGUUUGUCACUAAACCACGUUCUUGGAAUACCCCCCAGAUCAGUCAGUUUUAGUUUGUGUUGAACAGCACAGGGACAUAAUGCUAAUGCUAAUGCUAAUGCUAUCCCGGCUCAGUGGGCAGUACCUGCUCUUCCUUCUUAUAUCCGCCACCUUCUCCCUUUGCUUUUCUCUUAGUUUCCUCAUCUUUACCCUUCCCAAAGCUGAGCAUUGAUUGAUGCAGUCUUUUCAUUUUCAUCGGUGUCAGUGAAGAAAGUAAACAGAUGGUCAAUUGAUAUUUAUGUGCAAAUGUUACCGACUUCCGCUAGGAUAAUCUUGUAAUGAAAAUAAAAAUAUAUAGGUGUAUCUCA
rnacentral:lncRNA from 1 species